GCAUUGGUGGUUCAGUGGUUGAAUUCUUAUUUUUCACAUGAGAGACCAGGGUUCAAUUCCCAGCCAGUGCA
rnacentral:tRNA from 1 species